rnacentral:rRNA from 1 species
CCGGUGGCGGAUGGGCAUGCGUCGCAUUAGUUAGUUGGCGGUGUAACGGACCACCAAGACGACGAUGCGUAGGGGUUCUGAGAGGAAGGUCCCCCACACUGGUACUGAGACACGGACCAGACUCCUACGGGAGGCAGCAGUGAGGAAUAUUGGUCAAUGGGCGGGAGCCUGAACCAGCCAAGUCGCGUGAGGGAUGACGGCCCUAUGGGUUGUAAACCUCUUUUGCCGGGGAGCAAAGUGCCGCACGUGUGCGGUUUGGAGAGUACCCGGAGAAAAAGCAUCGGCUAACUCCGUGCCAGCAGCCGCGGUAAUACGGAGGAUGCGAGCGUUAUCCGGAUUUAUUGGGUUUAAAGGGUGCGUAGGCGGACGCUUAAGUCAGCGGUAAAAUUGCGGGGCUCAACCUCGUCGAGCCGUUGAAACUGGGUGCCUUGAGUGGGCGAGAAGUACGCGGAAUGCGUGGUGUAGCGGUGAAAUGCAUAGAUAUCACGCAGAACUCCGAUUGCGAAGGCAGCGUACCGGCGCCCAACUGACGCUGAAGCACGAAGGCGUGGGUAUCGAACAGGAUUAGAUACCCUGGUAGUCCACGCAGUAAACGAUGAAUGCUAGUUGUCCGGGGCGA